rnacentral:rRNA from 1 species
UCUGGUUGAUCCUGCCAGUAGUUAUAUGCUUGUCUCAAAGAUUAAGCCAUGCAUGUGUAAGCACAUGCCUUUAAACGGUAAAGCCGCGAAUGGCUCGGUAUAACAGCUGCAGUUUAUUAGACCAUAGUUUUCUACUUGGAUAACUGUGGCAAUUCUAGAGCUAAUACAUGCACGAAAGCUCGGACCCUCGCGGAAAGAGCGCAUUUAUUAGACCAAAACCAAUCGGGCGCUUCGGCGCUUGGUUUUUGGUGACUCUGAAUAACUUAGUUGAUCGCACAGUCUUAGUACUGGCGACGUAUCUUUCAAAUGUCUGCCUUAUCAACUUUCGAUGGUAGGUUAUACGCCUACCAUGGUGAUAACGGGUAACGGAGAAUUAGGGUUCGACUCCGGAGAGGGAGCCUGAGAAACGGCUACCACAUCCAAGGAAGGCAGCAGGCGCGCAAAUUACCCAAUCUCAGAACGAGGAGGUAGUGACGAAAAAUAACAAAACAGUCCACUUUGUGGCCUGUUAUCGGAAUGGGUACAAUUUAAAUCUUUUAACGAGGAUCUAUUAGAGGGCAAGUCUGGUGCCAGCAGCCGCGGUAAUUCCAGCUCUAAUAGCGUAUAUUAAAGUUGUUGUGGUUAAAACGCCCGUAGUUGGUUUUUCGGUCUCGAAGCUCGGUAGCUCGUAUGGGCUUAACUGAGUCUUCCGGCCUAAAUUUCUUGUACUCUCCCGAUGCUCUUUAUUGAGUGUCUCGAGAUGCUAGAACGUUUACUUUGAAAAAAUUAGAGUGCUAAAAGCAGGCUAUACGCUUGAAUAAAGUGCAUGGAAUAAUGGAAUAGGACUUUAGUUUUAUUUUGUUGGUUUUCGAAAUUAAAGUAAUGAUUAAGAGGAACAGACGGGGGCAUUCGUAUUGUUGCGUUAGAGGUGAAAUUCUUGGAUCGCAGCAAGACGAACAACUGCGAAAGCAUUUGCCAAGAAUGUUUUCAUUAAUCAAGGACGAUAGUUAGAGGUUCGAAGGCGAUCAGAUACCGCCCUAGUUCUAACCGUAAACUAUGCCAACUAGCGAUCCGUCGGUGUUAAAUAUUGACUCGACGGGCAGCUUCCGGGAAACCAAAGUUUAUAGGUUCCGGGGGAAGUAUGGUUGCAAAGCUUAAACUUAAAGGAAUUGACGGAAGGGCACCACCAGGAGUGGAGCCUGCGGCUUAAUUUGACCCAACACGGGGAAACUCACCCGGCCAGGACACAAUAAGGAUUGACAGAUUGAUAGCUCUUUCUUGAUUUUGUGGGUGGUGGUGCAUGGCCGUUCUUAGUUGGUGGAGCGAUUUGUCUGGUUAAUUCCGAUAACGAACGAGACUCUAGCCUAUUAAAUAGACGAUAUAUCUCAA